rnacentral:lncRNA from 1 species
CAGAACCGCAGAACAGACUAGUAGGAUCACCAACUGUUGGCCCAAGUUCAAGCAGUAUUUCCCCCCAGAUGCUAGACUCGUCUGAACAUGCAAUCGGAAUAGAGUGGGAGAAUGGAAAUACUUCUAUAUCACUGGAUAUGAAAACACCUUUAAGUCACUUUCCUCCCUUUCGGUUUGGGUAAGUUAUUCUUUCUGCUAUGUUUGGUUGACAGUUGACUUCUACAUAAGGUCAAUACUUUGUAUGCAGAAUAUGUUCUGCAGAUUAUGUUCUGCACACUUAUCUUUGUUU